rnacentral:rRNA from 1 species
UACAGAGGGGGCAAGCGUUGUUCGGAAUUACUGGGCGUAAAGGGCGCGUAGGCGGCCUGCUAAGUCGAACGUGAAAUCCCUGGGCUCAACCCAGGACUGCGUCCGAUACUGGUUGGCUUGAUCCGGGAGAGGGAGUGGAAUCCAGGUGUAGCGGUGAAAUGCGUAGAUAUCUGGAGGAACACCGGUGGCCGAAGGCGACAUCCUGGACCGGUAGUUGACGCUGAGGCGCGCAAAGCCAGGGGAGGCCAAACGGG